CAUUAAAGCAGGAAGUGUUAGUGUUUGCCAUGCCACAGAUUAGUGAUGGACUUUAUGCUAAUACAAACAGAUGACAAGUAUGGAUGAGGCCGCAUGUUACCAUGGACAGUCAGUGAAGUGAUUGACAGCCAGCCGCAGGGAGCCUUUUCCUGCAGGGCCUACAGACGAGAAACAUCAGAAGCCAACAGAAGAGACAGUGGCUGCGAAUGAGCUACAGUUGGGGGUUUCAUCUAUCGU